GUCAUGUGACUCGCGAUAAAUAACGUGAAAUCGUAUUUCCGGGCAGUUGUCAGGAUGGCAUUAUCAAUAAUUUACUAGACUCGCUACAUUCAAAACCACAUAGAGCUUACUUCAAAAAGCGAGAGAGGGUGGAUAACAACUGGGUUUAGAAAAUGUGUUCUAAAUAGAGCUCUGAGUUAUUACAGCGGUUGUUCAAGCGUCAAUACGAGACAUUUUCCAACAAAGUACAGAUAUUAAAGGGCAAACAACACAGCUGGAUAAAGCAUCCUAAGUCUGCACCUCGUAAAGCUAUGACAAUGAGAGAAAUGUAUCCACCCAGGCAAUCAGAAUAUAGAGUGCAACCUGGAAGGUGUGCUGCAGCUCAAAGAGAGUCAUGGUUAUUGGCAUCAAGUUCUCCAUCAGCUUUACCUCACAGGCACCACUUGUGAUUUCAUAGUUUGAACACCAAUGAACAUGGAAGUGAUUCUCAUCCUUCGAAAUGAAUUAUGAGAAUUAUACUUGACAUACAUGGUUGAGCCUUUGUGCCUUCUCUGCAAUAACCAACUAGACAGACUUGUGAAAAUGCAAAUGUCUUCCAUUAGUUUUAUUUUGUUUCUGCUACAAAUGAUCAGUGUGAAGAUGUGCAUGAAUCACCAUUGUAACAAUUUCUUUGACUAACAACCUUAGAUAAAUGUUCACUUUAUCAUUUACUUGAAUGCAUUUAAUACAACUUGACAAUGCAGAAUAAUGUGAGUAAGAAGUUGUACAUUUAUAGUAUCUAAGUCCAAAGGUAAAAUUUAAUAAAUUGUGGAAUUCAUAUCAGCUAUUUCCUUCAGUAGAGGAUUUGCAAAUGUAUAAGAGUCACACAGAGUUGAAAAUCUUAGUGGACAGAUAUAUAUGUCUGUAUUGUAAAGGUAUAUGAUUUAGAAUAUGGAUGUUUUUAAUUAUUCAAUUGCACACUCCACAUGAAUUUGACUCUUCCUGGUCUUGUAACAGCUGUGCUUCAUCCUUACUGAAAUGAGAUUUUGAUGAAAGAAAUUUUCAAAAGGUGCUAUGUUCAAUGUCACUCCUGAUUAAAGUUUAUCAAAUCCUUUAUUAGCAAGAAUCAUAUAUUAUCUGGCUUCAACAUCUCCAAUACACCUCAGUGAUCAACAAUGUCACCAUCAGAGGUGGAUCCAGGAUAGAAUUCAGAACAAUUGUGCUAC